GCGGAGGAGCCGCACCCGGAGCCCAGCCCCGCGCCUGCAGCCCGAGGUACCCGUGCAGACGCCUGGGCCGCGGGUUGCAAACCGCAGAGCGGCCGUCCUGCUCCUUCUCUUCCACCGACACCUCGCAUGUGUUCACAGAGAGACAGAGAGGCAGAGACCCAGGCAGAGGGAGAAGCAGGCUCCAUGCACCGGGAGCCCGACGUGGGAUUCGAUCCCGGGUCUCCAGGAUCGCGCCCUGGGCCAAAGGCAGGCGCCAAACCGCUGCGCCACCCAGGGAUCCCUCUUUUUCCUCAUUAAACAAUGACUCCCAACGUUCCCUCCUCCCAGCGCCUGAAAACCACCAUUCCACUUUAUGUCUCCUUAAAUUUGACUCCUAAUAUUCCAUGGCUGAGGUCAGUGAUGAUAAUGAAAAUGUCAGUAUUUGUUUGGGACCAAUGAAUCAAUGGACAAAGAAAAGAUUUUAUUUAUUUUUUUUCAUGAGAGACACAGAAAGAGAGAGGCAGAGACACAGGCAGAGGGAGAAGCAGGCUCCAUGCAAGGAACCCAACGUGGGACCUGAUCCCGGGAUCCAAGAUCACGCCCUGGGGCUGAAGGCAGACGCUAAACUGCUGAGUCAUUCGGGGAUCCCUCAACCCCCCAAAUCUUAUCAUCUUCAAAUCAGAAGAGUCUUCCUCAAAACACAGCUUACUUGCUUGUUUGUUUUCUCUCAUUCUUUUUUUUUUCUUUUUUUACAGUAUAAUGGGUUAAUAGAUAAAAGUUGAGUUUUAUCAAAAGGUAUUGAGUUAAAAGGAUAUUGAAAACAAUGUGAAUUUCUUUAGUUUGAAAUUUAUUUGAGCGAUUAUUACCAUUUUAUGUAAUAAAAUAUUCAAGAACUGUAUAGAAUAUAGGUUCAUAUUUACUGACAAAGUUCAAAGCAAUAAUUUUCCUUUGCAAAGCAUGGUUAAUAAUAACUCGUUGCUGUUUUAUCCAGGUUAUAAUCUGAUUUUCUUCCAUUUUCUACUCAGAAAUUUGCUUUCUAAAAAGGUGUGCAUAUGAAAUAUGUAAAUAAUAGUCUAAAUAUGAAUUUUUCUGAAAUUGUAAUCUCAUUCAGUAUGAAUUGCAUUCAAAAGUUUGUGUUUCACUUUCCUCCUCUACUAAUACAAUAGCAAGCAAGGUAUGUUUUUUACUAAACUAUGAUUACUUCAAAAUCUGUGCCCAGUUACCCCAGUGUACUUAGACAAGGUGCCACGUUAUACUUACGCUAUUCCAUGUGUAAGUUGAAAGGCAUUGGUCUGGUUGAAGAAAAUAAAAUCUGAGAUCAAUAGACAACUGAACGAGAAAAGUUUACUCGAGGACAGUAGUGUAAACAUUUCUACAUUUUAUUCAAUAAUUCCAGCUUACCACUUUAACUUUUAUUCUUAGGUAAAAGUAAUUCAUUAUGAUGUGAAUAUAGACAAAGUUCUUCACUCCUCAUAAGUAAGAUCAACAAACUAUUUAACAUCAUUGUAACUUUCCUAUCUGUGAGCAAAAACAAGAACAUAUUGAUAGAUCCUGUGGUAUUUUUAUUUAGGAAGAACAAUUUUAAGGUCCCAAAAUGAAUUUUUGAACUAUAUAUACACUAUAUCUCCCUAUUAUUUUUUUGUCUAAAUUUCAACUGAUCUAAUUUGAUUGCAGUGUGUUUCUUUUUAAUUUUUUAGUGAGAUAGUAGGAAGAAAUUUAAAUGAGGUUUUGUUUGUUUCUUUUACUUAAUGUAUAUCUUUUUAUUAUCCUAUAUCAUCCGUAGAUUGGAAAGAGAAUGUGGUUUAGGGUAUAAGAGCACAUUUCUAGAAGUAGGCUCUGUGCAUGAAUUCACUUCUCUGAAAAAAAUAGUCACUUCAACUCUUAUUUUAAAAGUGAAUAUGAGGGGAUCCCUGGUGGCGCAGCGGUUUGGCGCCUGCCU